ensembl:lncRNA
AGAAUAUUAUGUUCUUGUCAUUGACUUCAUUAUAAUAAUGAUACCUGAGACCUUCCCCAGGGUUCUGAGUGGCAGGUGCCUGGAAGCCCUGCCUCUCUCUCUCUCUCUUGGAAGCGGAAGUGUGCCGGCCUUGGAUCCUUCAGGAGAACCAGCGAUACAAGGCUUCCUAGGGAAGAAAUGGAUUUCCACAGGUGGGACAGGGGAGGAUAGAGCACUCCAAGCAGAAGAAAUGUCAUGUGAAAAGGCCCUGAAACUUGGAAGAGAGGGUGCCGUGGGUGGUUUGGCAGAGUCCCUGUCAGCAGCCAGAGCUGUGCUGGCACAGAUGGUCCGGCAGCAUUUUCUCCAGACAUGCCUCGUGGUGCCUGCCCACUCAGAGCCUCUUCAAGAAAGGCCUCCCUGCUGCAACCCCUGAAGCAGAGACUCUUGUUUUGCUCUCCCCUCACCCCGCUACCUGGCUGCUGCUCAUGGGACAGACAAAGGCAUGCGGUCCGGUGUUCACGAGCCAGUGACCUGUGUUGAUGAGCGCAUGCCAGUGGAAACUGUCCUUCUGCACAGAACCAACCCAGUCUCUCUGGAGGCCUCUGUCUCCUGACAUGACUACAUCAACUUUUGCUGCUAACAAAUACCUGCUGGGAGAGACAAGUUUUCAGCUUAGACGGGAAGAGAGGGCUCAGGAGAGCAGCUGACCUAAGAAAAGAGCCUCAAGCCCAGAAGCACCUGUCACGUGUGUCCAGCAUCUAUCUCAGAAGGACCAUUGUCUUGGGGAGCAAGAGACAUAUACCCAAGAAAACCAGCCCAGCAACCGGCGCCAGAGCAGACAGUACAAAGCACACAGCCGAAAGUGAGGGCACAGCUGAACAGUCAGCCCCCUUGGCUUGGAGCAGGCGGCCAUCGACAUAGCACAGACACCUGG